rnacentral:tRNA from 1 species
UAAGACUUAUGGAAAACUAACCCAUAUCUUAUGAAUGCAACUCAAAUACUUUUAUUAAGCUAAAGCCUUC